GGCAGAUGAUGUCCUUUACUCACAAUGGUCUGCAAGUGCCACCGGGCGCUGCUGAUAAUGCCACAGGCUCAGCUGAUGCCAGGAG
ensembl:snoRNA